AAGAAUGCAUUCAUGAAAACUUCCCAUGUGGUAGGGGUAGGCAAGACUUCCUUUUUAAGUCGCCACCAGUGUUCUGUUUUGCCGUUUAGCAUGAAGGUUGUAAGGAGAACUUUUUAUUCCUUGAUCAGGUCUAGGACAAAAAAGAGCUUCUCUAUCUGUAGGAUCUAGGCUUCGGCUACUAAAGGAUUAGGCCACCUUCAAAGUCUGGGGGGUUAAAUUUACUAAACUCUGUUAUGUUAUAGGAAAUGAAUUUUUUGAUGUUUCG
rnacentral:lncRNA from 1 species